UACGUAGGGUGCAAGCGUUGUCCGGAAUUAUUGGGCGUAAAGAGCUCGUAGGCGGUUUGUUGCGUCGGCUGUGAAAUCCCGAGGCUCAACCUCGGGUCUGCAGUCGAUACGAGCAAACUAGAGUGUUGCAGGGGAGACUGGAAUUCCUGGUGUAGCGGUGAAAUGCGCAGAUAUCAGGAGGAACACCGGUGGCGAAGGCGGGUCUCUGGGCAAACAACUGACGUGGAGGAG
rnacentral:rRNA from 1 species